rnacentral:misc_RNA from 1 species
UGCCCCUCACUCCAGCGCCAG